rnacentral:rRNA from 1 species
ACGGAGGUGGCAAGCGUUGUUCGGAAUUACUGGGCGUAAAGGGCGCGUAGGCGGCAAGGCAAGUCAGGUGUGAAAGCCCCGGGCUUAACUCGGGAAUUGCAUCUGAAACUGCUGUGCUUGAGUUCUGGAGGGGGUAGUGGAAUUCCCAGUGUAGCGGUGAAAUGCGUAGAUAUUGGGAGGAACACCUGCGGCGAAGGCGGCUACCUGGACAGAAACUGACGCUGAGGCGCGAAAGCUAGGGGAGCGAACGGG